GUUUCCUGGCCCUGGGACUUCGGAGUGCCCUUCCUGGUGUGCAUACACUGCUUGUACGCGUGUUUGGCAGUGGGGUGGAGACGGUGAACAGGUGCCAGUGGGGCACAGGCUGGUGGCAUCAGGACCCCUCACGCUGGCCCUGAAUUCUUAAGAAGGAGUGAGCCAUCGCUGGAGAGGAACUACAGCUCAGCCCCUGUCUACACUGGAGGCAUUUGGGAACGCGCGGAGCGGCAGGCAGAACUGAGGAGGCAGAGGAAAGCACGCAGGGCUGCCCGGGCUCCGCUGGGUUCAGGAAAGGAGGGCCGACCGGUGGAGGAAAAGCCAGGACUGUGAGGGUCCACUGCAGGCUGCUGUGGGAGCCCAUGCCUGGAAUGUGGGUCCUGUCGGGAAGGCAUGCUGUAUUUACUCUGGCAGGCUCCCUGGUAAAGCCGUGCUAGGCCGCAGCCGGGAUACUGUCAGCUAUGAAGGGGCGCCUCGCCUGCUGCACCGCGCUUCCCGCUGGCCUCUGGGCAUUUGCGGUUCAUCUGUUUGGAUUUCGAGGCCUGCACACCGCCCCUUUGUGGAAAGCCGCUGUGGCCCAGAGACUCUGAUUCCUUUUUAUUUUAUUUUUUUCUGAAUUAGGACUUAAGCUACUGCCCAAGAUUGGGCCAAGAUGUGGUUGUCAUGGCAACAGCACGCUCUCCUACCUAAGAAUGAUUCCUUUCUCUCCCAGAGUUCAGGUAAAGUCAGCAGACUUUUACUGAAGUGGCAUGGCCAGUAGGCAGAAGGCUCCAGAUUAAAGUUUUUGAGUUUGAAUUGCAGCUUCAACAUGUGCUAAAUGUACGUCCUCAGGCAGUUCGUUUACCUGCAGAAGCUGGACUCUUCUGCUCUCUCUGCAGCAUCUGGGGAUGGACAUGCUCCCAUAAGCCAAUUCUGCAGCUGAGUGGACUGAGGUCCCAGAAAGCCAAAGGCCUGAAGUGGAAAAUACUGCACAGGUGGACUCAUUAAGGAAAGAAGAACAACAUCUUGCUUUCCUCCAGCCAUGGCUAAUUUGGAAAAUUUGCAAGCUGACAUACAACUUGAUUAAAAUGACCUGGAGUCACCAAUUCUUUUGAAAUGCAACUGUAUCUUCACAACCCCAGACCUUUUGUAUUCUGGUCACCUCUUUUACACUAUUUUUUGUGGGGAAGAGUGAGAGGAUGGGGGUGGGGAAGAACUAUAUGUUAUAAUCCACAUAGAGAUUUUAAAUGAU